rnacentral:rRNA from 1 species
UUGGAGGGCAAGUCUGGUGCCAGCAGCCGCGGUAAUUCCAGCUCCAAUAGCGUAUAUUAGAGUUGUUGCAGUUAAAAAGCUCGUAGUUGAAUUUCGGGGUUCUACCGUUGGUCGGGCUUUGUCUGUACUGGUGUGUAGAAUUUCUACCUUCUGGGGAACCAUCAUGCUAUUAAUUUAGCGUGGUGGGAAACCAGGACCUUUACCUUGAAAAAAUUAGUGUGUUCAAAGCAGGCUUAUGUCUGAAUACAUUAGCGUGGAAUAAUAGAAUAGGACGGUGGUCCUGUUUUGUUGGUAUCUGAAUCACCGUAAUGAUUAAUAGGGAUAGUUGGGGGCAUUAGUAUUCAAUUGUCAGAGGUGAAAUUCUUGGAUUUAUUGAAGACUAACUUCUGCGAAAGCAUUUGCGAAGGAUGUUUUCAUUAAUCAAGAACGAAAGUUAGGGGAUCGAAGACGAUCAGAUACCGUCGUAGUCUUAACCAUAAACUAUGCCGACUAGGGAUCGGACGAUGUUAAUUUUUCUUGACUCGUUCGGCGCCUUACGGGAAAC